rnacentral:rRNA from 1 species
UACGUAGGGCGCGAGCGUUGUCCGGAAUUAUUGGGCGUAAAGAGCUCGUAGGCGGCCUGUUGCGUCCGCUGUGAAAUCCCAGGGCUCAACCCUGGGCGUGCAGUGGAUACGGGGCAGGCUGGGAGGCAGGCAGGGGAGAACGGAAUUCCCGGUGUAGCGGUGAAAUGCGCAGAUAUCAGGAAGAACACCCGUGGCUAAGGCGGCUCCUCUAGUACGGUA